UUGAGCAGGAUGCGGGCGUUCCAGCGGCGCCUCCGCGGUUUACGGCGGCAGAAGGGGCACCACACGUGAGACCCCACCCCUUCCCCGUAGUCCCUACUCGCUCACCUGCCUCCCAGGCCUCUGGCACUUCUCUCUCAUGCUCUCUAUUUCCACAGGCCGGAGCAUGGGAACGGUCGGAGCGGCGGCGGGGCCAUCAGAACAAAAGCUUGCGAACGGUUGGAGAGAUGGCGUGGUCACCGGAACAAGACGACGUGCCGGCAGGGUCGGCCCACGGGGGGCUUGCAGGCAACACCAGAUACGCGUAGAGAAGCAGCGAUGCAAAGACAGCUGCAUCGACCACGGUCAUGGCGGCGACAGCGGGGUGGCCGGCGGUGAUGGAGACAGCCACAACGUCAGAUGAGCUCGACCUUUGCUGUCAGAUUCUCUUUUUUCAUUUCGCAUGUUUCCCUUUUCCUGAUCAUGUUCUUCCUCUGAAUUUUACAGAUUUUUGUUUUAUGAAUAGGGCAUAUCUGGUGUGACAACGAGGUAGAUCCGUAGAUGAUGUGGAGUAAGACAAAGCAUCAGGCCAGCUUCAUAACUUGAGAGAUCAACCCUGCAAAAAAAAGAAACUGAAGAGAUCAUCAUGGUGUAUGCAAUUUUGAGACAGUGGCGUACCUUGGAGCCUCGCUUGAUUGGUCACGCGAACACACGGCAAGGUCGCCUCCCUUCUGCAUCGCCUUCUCCUCCUUCGCGUAGUCAUUCGUGCCUGCCCAGGGGCGCGCGUUCAAGGCAAGGUAGGCCUACAUGCCUUUCCUGGUGCCUACAUAUCUUCCUCUGGGCCGUAUCUUCGUUCCGGUUGCCGUUCCUCCCGUUCCGGGCAUGACUGUCAUGUUUCACAAGGUGCUGCAGUGGCUGUUGGAUCAGAGCUUGGAGACCACAGAUCUGGCAAGGCAACCAACUGGCAAGACACACUUUUGUAGUUCCAGUGAUUCCUGGAUCGAUAAGGCAGAUCGGAAAAGUAAGGACGCACACACCACCACUUACACAAAUUGGAUUUUGUUGUUGUCGACGUGAGAUGACAGUCUUCCUUUUAUCAUUAUAAUGCUACACUUCCAUAAGUAUUUAACCUUAUUCUCAUUCAGGUAUGAAUAGACCAACAUUUUUUACUCCAUCUUUGUAAGCUACGGAAAAUUAGACCUGACAAUAAUAUGGUAAAGGAUUAAUGACAAAUGGUUCUGCCACCACAAGAUAACACCUGAUAGAAUGUACUUCAGCACCUGGUUCUGGGAAGCACUGAGAACAGUAUCUGCCAGUGAUGUUUCCUUGAAACAUCUUCAAAUGAACUUGAUCUAUCCAGAGCUAUGUUACAGGUCUGGGGAAAGGUACGAAAGGUUGUGUGGCUCCUUCCAAUCAGGUGGUCGGGUCUUGGUAGGCUGGUGUCAAGGUUCAGUUCACCGUCGGCCACUUGAAUUGUUAGAACCAAUAUGUAGCCUCCUUUCCCCAAAAAAAUAUAGUGUUAUCUGAUUAUCUCCAUUUGCUGUAAUUGAUCUUCACAGA